rnacentral:rRNA from 1 species
AGAGUUUGAUCCUGGCUCAGAACGAACGCUGGCGGCGUGCCUCAUACAUGCAAGUCGAACGAGAAAGCCCGGCUUCGGUUGGGUUAGUAAAGUGGCGCACGGGUGCGUAACACGUGAGGAACAUGCCCCUAUGUUGGGGAUAAGCCUGCGAAAGCGGGUCUAAUACCGGAUGUUGUCAUUGGAUCGCAUGGUUCGAUGAUUAAAGGCGGUUGAGUCUAUGCCGCCGCAUAGGGAUUGUCUCGCGGCCCAUUAGCUUGUUGGCGGUGUAAUGGACCACCAAGGCUCCGAUGGGUAGCCGACCUGAGAGGGUGACCGGCCACACUGGGACUGAGAUACGGCCCAGACUCCUACGGGAGGCAGCAGUAGGGAAUAUUGGACAAUGGGGGAAACCCUGAUCCAGCAACGCCGCGUGGAUGAUGAAGCUUUUUGGAGUGUAAAAUCCUGUCAGUGGGGACGAAACGUCCGGGUAGGAAAUGACCCGGGCCUGACUGUACCCGCAGAGGAAGUUCCGGCCAACUCCGUGCCAGCAGCCGCGGUAAUACGGGGGGAACGAGCGUUGUUCGGAUUUACUGGGCGUAAAGGGCACGCAGGCGGGGAGACAAGUCAGAUGUGAAAACCCAAAGCUUAACUCUGGGCCUGCAUUUGAUACUGUUUCUCUUGAGUACGGGAGAGGAUAGCGGAAUUCUUGGUGUAGCGGUGAAAUGCGUAGAUAUCAAGAAGAACACCGGUGGCGAAGGCGGCUAUCUGGCCCGAUACUGACGCUCAUGUGCGAAGGCAAGGGGAGCAAACAGGAUUAGAUACCCUGGUAGUCC